rnacentral:tRNA from 1 species
GGGCGAGUGGCGGAACUGGCAGACGCACCGGACUUAGGAUCCGGCGCCGCAAGGCAUGCGGGUUCGAUUCCCGCCUCGCCCACCA